rnacentral:rRNA from 1 species
AUUGAACGCUGGCGGCAGGUCUAACACAUGCAAGUCGAGCGAGCGGCGGACGGGUGAGUAAUGUCUGGGAAACUGCCUGAUGGAGGGGGAUAACUACUGGAAACGGUAGCUAAUACCGCAUACCAUCAGAUGUGCCCAGAUGGGAUUAGCUAGUAGGUGGGGUAACGGCUACCCUAGGCGACGAGCCCUAGCUGGUCUGAGAGGAUGACCAGCAACACUGGAACGGAGACACGGUCCAGACGCCUACGGGAGGCAGAAGUGGGGAAUAUUGCACAAUGGGCGCAAGCCUGAUGCAGCAAUGCCGCGUGUGUGAAGAAGGCCGUCGGGUUGUAAAGCACUUUCAGCGGGGAGGCGGUACCCGCAGAAGAAGCACCGGCUAACUCCGUGCCAGCAGCCGCGGUAAUUC